AAACUAACAAGGAUUCCCCUAGUAGCGGCGAGUGAAGCGGGAAGAGCUCAAAUUUGUAAUCUGGCGUCUUUCAGGCGUCCGAGUUGUAAUCUAUAGAAGUGUUUUCCGUGCUGGACCAUGUCCAAGUCCCUUGGAACAGGGUAUCAAAGAGGGUGACAAUCCCGUACUUGAUAUGGCCACCAGUGCUCUGUGAUACACUUUCUACGAGUCGAGUUGUUUGGGAAUGCAGCUCAAAAUGGGUGGUAAAUUCCAUCUAAAGCUAAAUAUUGGCGAGAGACCGAUAGCGAACAAGUACCGUGAGGGAAAGAUGAAAAGCACUUUGGAAAGAGAGUUAAACAGUACGUGAAAUUGUUGAAAGGGAAACGAUUGAAGUCAGUCGUGUUCAUUGGACUCAGCCGGUUCUUCCGGUCUAUUUCCUUUGAACGGGUCAACAUCAGUUUUGUCCGGUGGAUAAAGGCAGAGAGAAAGUGGCUCCCUCGGGAGUGUUAUAGCUUUUUGUCACAUACACUGGAGGAGACUGAGGACUGCAGCUCGCCUUUUGGCCGGGGUUCGCCCACGUCGAGCUAGGAUGUGAC
rnacentral:rRNA from 1 species